CCCCCAAAGUGAUGAUAUUGGGAAGUGAGGCCUUUGAGAUAUGAUUUGGUCAAGAGGGUAGAGUCCUCAUGAAUGGGAUUCAUGCCCUUAUAGAGGAGACCCCAGACAGCUCCCUUAUGCCUUCUACCAUGUGAAGACACGGUGGGAAGAUGGUCAGCUAUGAACCAGGAAGUGGGUUCUCAUGAGACACAGAAUCUGCUUGCACUUUGAUCUUGGACUUCCCAGGCUCUAGAACUAAGGCAUACAAAUGGCCAACAAGUACAUGAAAAGGUGCUCAACAUCACUAAUCAUCUGGGAAAAGGAAGUGAAAACCACAAUGAGAUAUCACCUUGCACCUGUUAGAAUGGCUGUCAUCACAAAGAGAAGAGCUGGGAAGUGUUGUUGAGAAUGUGGAGAAAAGGGAACCCUUGUGCACAGUUGGUGGCAAUGUGAAUUGGUACAGCUAUUAUGGAAAACAGCAUGGAGGUUCCUCAAAAACUAAAAAUAGAACUACCAUAUAAUCCAGCAAUCUCCUGUCUGGAUACUCAACAGAACUGAAAUCAGCACCUUAGAGAGGUAUCUGUGCUCUCAUGUUCAUUGCAGCAUUAUUUGCAGUAGCCAACAUAUGGAAACAACCUAAACAUAUGUUGAUGGAUGAAUGGACAAAGAAACUGUGGGCUCUUCUCUCCCUUUAUGAACAGAAGACUUUACCAUCUCCAUGUUGUCACAAGUGCUGGGUAUAGAAAUGCUGGGAGAGUCCCCUCAUACUACUCUUCAUGGCCAGAAAAGAUCUACUGUUUCCCUCAAGGUUUUGAGAUGGGACUAGUAGUACUUUGAGUUAUCACAAGAAAUCUCUGAUAAUCUUGAAAGACUUCUCAGGUGAGACUGUAAAAUACCUGGGCACAUUUGGCCAAGAUUUUGGUAUAACUUCUCAACAAAAAAGUUGAUCCCCAUCAUGGAUUAUGCUGAGCAGACUACCAUGUUUUACCCUUACAUGUAGUCUUUGGCUGUAAAAGUCUGUUUCAGAGCACAUGGCAUAGUCUGUACCCUCUUUGUUAAAGCUAUUUUCAGCACUAACUAUUGCUUAGUAUAAGCAAGGUUAAUAGGGAACUGUUUUUUUAGGAAUGACAGUGUGAUUGCCUCAUACAAGGCGAUGUGUAAGUAGUCAUGUUGAAGUCUUGUGUAUGGUUUCAUCACCUUAAGCAGUUUCUUGUAAGGCAUUUCAAUAUAGCAUUCCUUCCCAUUAAUCCUUCAGGCUUGAUCAACAUGGAAAACAAAAUGACCUAUGGAAGUGACACCUUAUAAGCCAGUGUAUUCAAUAGCAGAUGAUUCAAUCCAUUCAUAUUCAUAAUACUGUAGACAGGCAUAUAGAUCUAAGUACCAAGCUGCAUAUGUAACCCACACAUGUAAGAAGGCAUGAAAGAGUAAAGUAGUUA